rnacentral:rRNA from 1 species
AAAGAAAGCGUAAUAGCUCACUGGUCGAGUCGGCCUGCGCGGAAGAUGUAACGGGGCUAAACCAUGCACCGAAGCUGCGGCAGCGACGCUUAUGCGUUGUUGGGUAGGGGAGCGUUCUGUAAGCCUGCGAAGGUGUGCUGUGAGGCAUGCUGGAGGUAUCAGAAGUGCGAAUGCUGACAUAAGUAACGAUAAAGCGGGUGAAAAGCCCGCUCGCCGGAAGACCAAGGGUUCCUGUCCAACGUUAAUCGGGGCAGGGUGAGUCGACCCCUAAGGCGAGGCCGAAAGGCGUAGUCGAUGGGAAACAGGUUAAUAUUCCUGUACUUGGUGUUACUGCGAAGGGGGGACGGAGAAGGCUAUGUUGGCCGGGCGACGGUUGUCCCGGUUUAAGCGUGUAGGCUGGUUUUCCAGGCAAAUCCGGAAAAUCAAGGCUGAGGCGUGAUGACGAGGCACUACGGUGCUGAAGCAACAAAUGCCCUGCUUCCAGGAAAAGCCUCUAAGCAUCAGGUAACAUCAAAUCGUACCCCAAACCGACACAGGUGGUCAGGUAGAGAAUACCAAGGCGCUUGAGAGAACUCGGGUGAAGGAACUAGGCAAAAUGGUGCCGUAACUUCGGGAGAAGGCACGCUGAUAUGUAGGUGAAGUCCCUCGCGGAUGGAGCUGAAAUCAGUCGAAGAUACCAGCUGGCUGCAACUGUUUAUUAAAAACACAGCACUGUGCAAACACGAAAGUGGACGUAUACGGUGUGACGCCUGCCCGGUGCCGGAAGGUUAAUUG